GCGACUCUUAGAACCGAGCUGCAUCGAGGCCCCGAGAGGCUGCAGGUUUUCUACCGCCUCGUUUCACUCAGAGAUUCUUCAGAGGAACGAGCUGCUGUCGGCGUUUGGCAGUAAAAACAGGACUGAAAAAAACAAAAUAUGGAUGUGGUUUCUGAGCCGCAGGAUCCACAUUAAAUGUUUGAUUGGAGAGAAGAUAACAUCGAGAAACAAAGGGGGAAUCCCAAAUUGCUUGGAGGAAAGAUGACUGUGCACUUCUUCUGUUCUCCAGUGAACUGGCUGUGAGGAGAUUUGUGACGCAGCUGGAACCAGAAAAGACCCUCCAACAUCUCGAUCCCUGCCGGGGUCAGCGGGGCAACACGGUCGCCAGCAGACGCUCUAAUCAGAGGACAGCAGCGGGGGGACUGAGGGCAGCCAAUGCUCCGCUGCUGGCGGUGUGACAGAGAGGGUUGAGCUGAUGUUCUCUCUCUUUACUACAUGUCAACACGGCCGAGCAGGUUGCCAGGCAACACGUACUCUCGCUGAUGCCAUCCCCAUGCAGGCUCGACAUUAGACGGGUUGAGUCAGGAGAAAAUCUCAGCGGCGUGUCGUCGUCUUUUUUUUUUCUGUGUGCCAGCAGAAGGAGUCACGCUGUGUGUCAAACUCUCGAAUCGUUGCCAAGGAAACUUCAUAUUUUUUUGUCGUCAAUGUCGUGUGACCUUUUAGAAUAAAUAAAUGCCCCUCUGUCAGCAGACUUCACACCUUAUAAUCUCUUACUCCCACAGGCAUAUUUAAUGAGACAUAACGCUGCAUGUUCAUGUCACGUACUCUCUGGGACUGCUGCUCAGUAGAAAAUAGAUCACAUAUAAAUAUUCAGUGCACACCUACUGCCAAAAAAAA